rnacentral:rRNA from 1 species
UCUGGUUGAUUCUGCCAGUAGUCAUAUGCUUGUCUCAAAGAUUAAGCCAUGCAUGUCUAAGUAUAAGCACUUUAUACCGUGAAACUGCGAAUGGCUCAUUAAAUCAGUUAUCGUUUAUUUGAUAGUACCUUACUACAUGGAUACCUGUGGUAAUUCUAGAGCUAAUACAUGCUGAAAACCUCGACUUCGGAAGGGGUGUAUUUAUUAGAUAAAAAACCAAUGCCCUUCGGGCUCCUUGGUGAAUCAUAAUAACUUAACGAAUCGCAUGGCCUUGCGCCGGCGAUGGUUCAUUCAAAUUUCUGCCCUAUCAACUUUCGAUGGUAGGAUAGUGGCCUACCAUGGUGGCAACGGGUAACGGGAAUUAGGGUUCGAUUCCGGAGAGGGAGCCUGAGAAACGGCUACCACAUCCAAGGAAGGCAGCAGGCGCGCAAAUUACCCAAUCCCGACACGGGGAGGUAGUGACAAUAAAUACUGAUACGGGCUCUUUUGGGUCUCGUAAUUGGAAUGAGUACAAUUUAAAUCCCUUAACGAGGAACAAUUGGAGGGCAAGUCUGGUGCCAGCAGCCGCGGUAAUUCCAGCUCCAAUAGCGUAUAUUAAAGUUGUUGCAGUUAAAAAGCUCGUAGUUGAACCUUGGUCUGGCUGGCCGGUCCGCCUCACCGCGAGUACUGGUCCGGCUGGACCUUUCCUUCUGGGAAUCCCAUGGCCUUCACUGGCUGUGGGGGGAACCAGGACUUUUUACUGUGAAAAAAUUAGAGUGUUCAAAGCAGGCCUUUGCUCGAAUACAUUAGCAUGGGAAUAAUAGAAUAGGACGUGGUGGUUCUAUUUUGUUGGUUUCUAGGACCGCCGUAAUGAUUAAUAGGAAUAGUCCGGGGGCGUCAGUAUUCAGCUGUCAGAGGUGAAAUUCUUGGAUUUGCUGAAGACUAACUA